UAGCCCUGAACAUUGUUUCAUAUAAAAGACAUCCUCUUUUUCCCCUAAAACCAGUUCCCUCAAUCUUCCCUAAAACCCUCCAGCAGAACCCACUUCCCUCCAGAGAAAUCAAGUUUUUUCCGGCGAUUUUGGGCAAGAAACCACCGUCGUGACCGGCCGCUGGUAAGUUCCAUCCUCUUUAUCUUCUUUUUUGUUCAUUUAGGGUUUAAUUUUAUCUUUAUUUACAUGUUUCCGGCGAUUACCGGUGGUUUUCGAUCAUCUGGAGUGUUCAGUUCGAAGGUUCAUUGUUUCACUUCUUCAAGCUGAUUUCAGCUUCUCAGAAUGCUUUCAGUGGAAUUCUAACUAGUCGAAUUCUAACUGGUCUUCCCAAGCCUGGAGGCAGGAGUUACAGAAAAUUGUAAAAAAACCUAUAGCAACCAAAUUUAGUCUUUAAAGGUGAAAUUACAGAAAAUUGUAAAAACUCUAUAGCAACGACCCUGUUGCGACUAAGUUUGGUCGCUGUAAGUCAAUCUAUAGCGACGCCUUUGUAGCGACGAAAAUUGCACCCUGUUACGACAGAUCAAUAGCAACGACCCUGUUGCGACUAAGUUUGGUCGCAAUAGGUUAAGACGGAAUUUCGUCGCGAAAAGUCUUUUUUGGGUCGUCGCUAAAGGUCCGAUUUCUUGUAGUGGAUAACCAAGUUUUAGUAGUGUUUCAAUUAGAUCACUUAUAAAAAAAAUUGUUCUAAUUAACUCAUUAAAUUUUAUUUUAUUUGCUAA